ACCCUAUGAAUUUAUUAAAUUUUUAUUUAAUAUGUAAUUACUAUUAGAAAAAUUUUGGCUGGGGCGGCUAGAAAAUAUUAUGAACUUUUUAAAAAUAAAAUGAUCCAUUAUUAAUGAUUUUAUGUUAAAUA
rnacentral:rRNA from 1 species